CAAUCUACGUCGGCGACCGGCGCACGGGUGCGUAACGCGUAUGCAACCUACCCAUUACAGGGGGAUAACACUGAGAAAUCGGUACUAAUACCCCAUAACAUCCAGGGAGGCAUCUUCUUGGGUUGAAAACUCCGGUGGUAAUGGAUGGGCAUGCGUUGUAUUAGCUGGUUGGUAAGGUAACGGCUUACCAAGGCGACGAUACAUAGGGGGACUGAGAGGUUAACCCCCCACAUUGGUACUGAGACACGGACCAAACUCCUACGGAAGGCAGCAG
rnacentral:rRNA from 1 species